ensembl:lncRNA
AUCUCUUCCUGGAGGUUGCUCCUUGUGGAGUUUUUGUGAGCCUACCACACUGUGAGCCUUUUACAUCAUGGGUCCAAAUCUGAAGUAAAAAUCUAUGACAAAAGUAACCUGCAGCCCAUCAUCUGCACAGACCAGAAGAAAAAUGUGUUUUAAAGGCACUUCAGAGAUGCAUUCAACUUCACUAGUUUAUGUGCAAUACAGAAUAUCUUCAGAAUCAUUCAAGAACAAGUUAUGUUUAGACUGGCCAAGGAGAAGUUGAGUCUUCAAAAAGUACAAAGGCUCUGGUGUAGGAACAAGAUGACCAAGACUACCUGACACGAAAAUGAAUUUAAGGUGUGCCAUAAAGACACCAAGCUGAUGUCAUGUUAGAGGAUAUUCUAUUCCAAUUUCUGAUUCUAAAACAAAGACAUAAAAAGUUAAAAAAAAAAAAAAGUAAAAAAAAAAAGCAGAAUAUUAACUGCAUGCUGCUUUUAAAACAACAUAAUCUGAUUUCUGUAUUAAGGCUUCUGCAGAAUUGUUUUCUGCCCUGACUCUCUCCAUGAUAUUGUCUACAAUACUGGCCAAGUCACUAGAGCCAAACUAUUCAUAUGCAGUGAUUAAUUAUGUUUUACUCAUUAUCUGGGUCUCUCACUUGAGGCAGAAUUGAAAAGGUGUUGAGCUUUCACCAUUGCCUUUCACAGUUUUGAGAGCUAUGCUUUGAAUAUCUAAUGUGUUAAAUGUACUGAAAAAAUGUCUUACAUUGGCAAAUAAAAAUGUGCAGGAAGUGUUUAUUUUAAUUUCUUUUGUCCCUCUGUCCUCCAAAUCUAAAAUGAAUGUGUGAGUGCCUUUUGGUACAGAAAGGUUCUGAAAAUAUGUUCAUUUCUAUUUUUGUAGCUAUUGGAUGUUAAUGUGAAUAGUAUGAAAAGUCUGAGAGAAAAUUUAAUAACAGUCCUUAGAAAAGGUUUUGAGAAAUUCAGUAGAUAAGGCAGAAGAGCCACAUGAGUAAACAAAAUACUGAAAAGCAGAUGUGCCUUGAAAAAGCAGUAUGUAAUGAGGAGAUUGUCGAUUGGAUUGGAAAGCAUUAUCAAAGAAAGCUGAUGUAAAUUUGCAUACAGAUCUUACUUCUUGCAUUUCACAAUUAUUGAGGGCUUGGUUUUUCAUCAUUAAGAAUAAUAUAAUAAUUGCACAGGUUUUGUGCAUACCUUCCUCAAAAGCAGCUGAACGAAUGUUGAAACAAUAUGAGAAUCCCAUUCUUCAAAGGAAUGGAAACAGUGUGCUCUUUUCUAGCUCAGUAUGCUUGUGUAGAGUGCUACUAUAUCCUAAUCUGUAGUUCUGCCUUGAUUUUUGUCUUUGUUCCAUUCUGAGUGUGUACC